GGGAGCUUGCUCCCUGAUGUUAGCGGCGGACGGGUGAGUAACACGUGGGUAACCUGCCUGUAAGACUGGGAUAACUCCGGGAAACCGGGGCUAAUACCGGAUGGUUGUUUGAACCGCAUGGUUCAGACAUAAAAGGUGGCUUCGGCUACCACUUACAGAUGGACCCGCGGCGCAUUAGCUAGUUGGUGAGGUAACGGCUCACCAAGGCGACGAUGCGUAGCCGACCUGAGAGGGUGAUCGGCCACACUGGGACUGAGACACGGCCCAGACUCCUACGGGAGGCAGCAGUAGGGAAUCUUCCGCAAUGGACGAAAGUCUGACGGAGCAACGCCGCGUGAGUGAUGAAGGUUUUCGGAUCGUAAAGCUCUGUUGUUAGGGAAGAACAAGUGCCGUUCAAAUAGGGCGGCACCUUGACGGUACCUAACCAGAAAGCCACGGCUAACUACGUGCCAGCAGCCGCGGUAAUACGUAGGUGGCAAGCGUUGUCCGGAAUUAUUGGGCGUAAAGGGCUCGCAGGCGGUUUCUUAAGUCUGAUGUGAAAGCCCCCGGCUCAACCGGGGAGGGUCAUUGGAAACUGGGGAACUUGAGUGCAGAAGAGGAGAGUGGAAUUCCACGUGUAGCGGUGAAAUGCGUAGAGAUGUGGAGGAACACCAGUGGCGAAGGCGACUCUCUGGUCUGUAACUGACGCUGAGGAGCGAAA
rnacentral:rRNA from 1 species